rnacentral:lncRNA from 1 species
AAAGUUUCCUGGCCCCUGGAGAGCUCUACCAAGCCAGGGUUUAAGCAAGUAGCAAACUCAACUUGCUGGCCUACAUCCUAGGAGACCUUGCACACAAAACAGAAUGUAUGGCUAGGCCACUUAAACUUCCCUUCCUGCUCUGGAAACAGACCAGUAGUCCAUCAGCAGUUUCUCAGACUUCAUGUUCUUGCUGGCUAGACUCAUAAACACAGAGCCCAGUUCCCUUGAGAUUCCAAUGAGUAUUUUUAGGACUUUCGUUUUAACUUUGAGUCAAACAGAAAGAUGGAAGGCCUGUGGCCUAGCAGAUUAAGUGACCAGCACUUAGCGGGGAAUCAAAGAGGUGUCCAUGCCAAUCUCGGAGGUCAAAGACACGGUCUGCAAUGUCUGGACUGAGGGUGACUCACAACGUUCACCUUAUACUGAAAGACCCAAGCACAUCCUUCUCACAUGGAGUGUGGUCACCGGCAAUGUCCUAGUCUUGUCCAGUCCAGACUUGGGCAAGCCUGGAAGCUCAGGUACUUUGUCCCACCAGUGCCCCUAUCACAACAGAUCCCAGAGAAAAGAACUGCUGGUUGUAGUUUUAAUGACACCCUAAGUGGCAAAAAAAAAAAAAAAAAAAAAAGACCACCAGACUUGUGGUAGUAAUAACCAUGAGAUAAACACCAGGCCCUCUACUUGGUAUUUAAGACCCUCCAUGACCCCACUCAGCUGACCUUGCUGGUCAUGUCUCAUCCCUCCUACCCCAGCCUGACAGAUGGAAUCAUAUCUGUUAUUUCUAGAAUAGACAUGGUGCUUUAUACAUGUUACUCCCCAGGGGAAGCUCUCUUCUCUCCCCCCAGCUAUUUAUCCCAUGAGGAUAACCCUAGCGGCUUGCUCCAGGAUGUCCCCCACGGAACCCUUUGUACAUUACUAGUCCCACACACACAUUCCAGAGUUAGGGCUCUUUAGAUAUGAAUUUGCUCCCUGUUGGAAAUACAAGCAAAUCAAUGAGGUGGGUCCUGUGUCUGUUUUUUUUUUUAUGACCUUUGACACAAAAGUGAUAGAUGAAGAUGUGCUGAGAGGGACAAGGGAGGAAAGGAAGCAGGACAGAGGAAGAAGAGGUUGGAGCUAGGAAAGGCAAAAGACAGCCUUGGCUUUCUAUUUGAGACAACUUCCACAUCCCUAGCUGCUAAAGGAUAGCAUCUGAGAGUAGAGUUCUCCAGGUGGAGGUAGACGCAUAGUAUGCAAGGCCCCAGGGUCCACUGGCUGAAGAUGUGGCAACCAGCUGGAAAUCUUGGCAAAGGAUUGGUGUAAAUGCCAUGAAAGUGCCCCUGGCUUUGUAAGGUUUGGGUUCUUUACACAUUGUUAGUUUUCCAAAAAUUCAUCUAAGCAGCCAAAAAUAUCACCCUGGCUGGCCAUCUAAGCCUGUAGAUUCAGUACUCAGCUAAAGCCUCUCUACACCCCUCCCCCAUUCUUACACAGCCCAGCCAGGCUUGCCAAGAACUGGCAGAAACUCUUGCUGCCCUUGGGCAGGGGACCUCUUGGGGAGGAGAUGCCUGGAUUGAAACCCUGCCCAUGACUCCAGCUCAGAGCCACUUCUUAGUCAGUGCCCGACCUUGAGGAAGGGAAAUCAGAGCUUAUAAGGGCUCUUGGACCCUAUCUGGCCCUUUCCAGGCAAUGUCAGCUCCUCACCACUGUCUCCAAAGGCAGACUUUGCCUAUAGAGAGGCCUUUGCUUGCUGCUUGGGAAGCCACAGAAGCUCUUUCAGCUUCUGUUUCUUCAUGGACCAUAGGGAGAGUUUCCUGGGGCCAGGAGGAUAAUUCUGUGUAUCAUAUUGACACCACAGGCCACCAUGAUGGGAGCAUGUGACAGAUAAGAAAACAUAACUUAAAGGCCCCCUCCAUCCUAAAACCUGCCUUGGGGAAUGUGAUUUUUAAUAGGAUCCAAGUCUAAGAUGCCUGGAGUGAGAAACCAAGGACUCUUAGACUGGAGUCUCUCUGGUUGCAAGGCUGAGGUGGGUGUGGCUCUCAGCUAAAGAAGGGGGAAGUUGACCUUAGCUUUUGCCCAGUUCUGUCUCAGAUUUGUUGGCUACCCCACUGUGCCUCACUGUACCAAACUGGCCUCAGCUCUCACCAUGUUUGUGGUGUUCUUUAUCACCUCUUCCUUCACCCCUGCCCCAUGAAUUGUCAUGAAGAGUUCUUUAAGAGUAUAAUAGAAGACAAAGAAAGAUGCUAUUAAUGUUAUUUUGCCAAAAAUAUUUUUGUAGCAUAAUAUAUUAAUUAAAGAUGUUAUGAACUU